CCUUCGCGACGCCGAUGCCCGCACGACGCCCGACGGGCCGUGAGGCCGCGGGCUCAAGACGGGCACGGCGGUCGUUCGCGUCGAGGGACAAGAUGCGUCGCUCGGGCAGACGGAGUCUGUGACAGACCCCACGCCCGCGCAUAGCGUUCCGUGUCCGAGAGAACGGGCAGAGCGCACCGUGGGCCGAGGCAGCCACGCRACUGGGCGAGGCUUGCCUGGAACACGGGGCGUGCCUGACGUCCACCCCGCAACCCGCGAGGGCUGGGGGCGGAGAGGGACGAACGGA
rnacentral:misc_RNA from 1 species